AAGGUCAUUUCAGGGAGCUAUGGGUUUGUUUUGAUUGGGUCUGGGCUGGAAGCAAGUCCAGUGAUGUCAGUACAACCACUGGCGAACCCUGUGGAGUUGGUUACCUCAGAAACACCCAAGGCUCACUGCGCAUCAGGGUAUCACCUGGAAUCCUUCCAUCCGUCCAAGAGUACACAACAUGGGGCUUGAAGACCUACGUUUUCAAAGGAGCAAUGUGGAGAAGGAGUCUCACAGCUGGAAGGUGAACGUGGGAGAGACGUCGUGGAGGAGCAGGAAGCGGCUGGCUGCAGUGUGUCUGCAGUCGGGAAGCAGACAGCGCUGGGCAGCGGAGCUCAGCUGGCUCUCUCUUUUGGGUCAGCCUGGAACCUUAGCUGGAGGGGUGGUGCUGCCCACAUUCAGGUCAGAUCUGUUCCCCUGUCAGUCAAGCCUCUCUAGACACCUUCAUCAGCAUUCCCAGGGGGUGUUUUCUUUUCUUUUCUUUUCCUUCUUUCUUUCUUUCUUUCUUUCUUUCUUUCUUUCUUUCUUUCUUUCUUUCUUUCUUUCUUUCUUUCUUUCUUUCUUUUAAAGAUUUAUUUAUUUAUUAUGUACACAGAAGAGGGCGCCAGAUCUCAUUACAGAUGGUUGGGAGCCACCAUGUGGGUGCUGGGAAUUGAACUCAGGACCUCUGGAAGAGCAGCCAGUGCUCUUAACCUCAGAGCCAUCUCUCCAGCCCCCGAGGUGUGUUUUCAUAAUGACCUUAAAUCCAGCAAACGGAAGAUGAAGCCAAACCAUCACACCUUCCAACUGCUGUGUAAUGUUAGAAAACCCCAGAACCAACUCACAGUUCAUGGUGUUAGUCAAGUGUCUGUGAAGGGGCUGGUGAGAAGCCUCAGCAGGUAAAAACGCUAAUAUGAGUUUGAGCCCUAGGUCCCGUGUAGUGGAAGAAAAGGACUAACUCCUAAAACUUGUCCUCUGACCUCACAUGCUUACACCACACACACACACACACACACACACACACACACACACACACACACACACACACAUUAAACACAUAAAUUUUUUUGAAAUCAACACAAGAGUAUCUCUGAAGAUGUACGCAAAGUCAACCAGAACAGUCAGGAAAUACUGCACAAUUGGAUUUUAUGAGGUGCACAGAAUUGUCAAGUUCAGAGACAGUAGGCGAGCUAGAGAUUGCUGGGUCUGGGAGGGGAUGUGAGUCAUGUUUCAGCGGGUACAGAGUUCCAGUCCGGGAAGAUGAAAAGGCUGGAAGGUAGACUAUGGUGACAGCUGCAUGCCGAUGUGAAUUUAGUUAAUGCCGCUGGACUACACACUUAAAAAUGGUGACACUGGGGCGGGAAAGAUGACAGUUGCACAGUAAGAGCACACACUGCUCGUGCAAAAGCCCCAGGUCCCAGCACUGGCGCAGGGUAACUACCGUUCCAGGGGAUCUCAUACCUGGACUCCCUGGGCAGCAGGCACACAUGUGAUGCACACACAGACACAAAGACUAUGUGGUUUGGAUAAGAACUGCCCCCAUAGAGGCUUAUAUGUUCGAAUGCUUGGUCCUCAGUUGGUGGAACUGUUUGGGAAGGGAUUAGGAGGUGUGACCUUGUUGGAGGAGGUGUGCCACUGGGGGUAGGCUUUGAGACCUCGGAAGCUUCAGGACAUCUCCAGGGUACUCUGUUUCCUGCUGACAGUUGGACAAGUGAGCUCCCAGAUGUUCCUGCUGCCACACCUUCACCCUGCCAUCAUGGACUCUGACCCUCCAGAGCUGUCUGGUUCUCUGUGAGAAGGAGCUGAGACACACUUCAGAGGUGUAAGUGUUUAUUAAGGGCCAACACCUGUGAAGGGGAGCGGCUGGAAACUGAAGGGGCAAGACACCUCUACAGCACGCAGUCUGCAGGAGCACCCUGCGGCAGGCAGCGAUGGCUGACUUUUGACCUCCGGCAUUCUCCGUGGCUGGGUGUGGGUCGCCCAGGGAAGAAUGUGUCCUCAGGUGAGGCAGCCUGCUGAGGCCGAGGCAGAUCCCGAAGGAACUGGCCCCUGAGUCCGGCUGUUGACUGCAUAUCCAGGGGGAGGUCAGCAAGCCCUCCCUGGGAAGCUAGGAGCACAUCUCUCAGUCUGCCCCUCUGCUCCCAGUGGGCAAAACAAAGGCCCAGAGAGACCAAACAUUUCAAGGUUAUGUCAUAAAUUACAGCCAUCCCAGAUCUGUCUGACUCAAAACCUGUCUCUCUCCCAGCUAUCCCCAGCUUUUCUCCAACAAAGCUUACAUCAGACUGUCCUGACCUUCAGUUGCGGAGACAGGAAGGUCUGGAAGCCUCCAGAGGAAUAUGCAGAAAGUUUGGCUGUGACUCUCACCCCAGGGGAUGGCACUGCCUACAUUCAGGAAGGCCUUGCUGUGAGUUAUCCUCUCUGGGAUCAUCCUCACAGACAAUCACCAGUGAGCCUCCCCUGUCUCCCAAGUCGUUCUAAAUCCAGUCAGGUUGAAGGGGGACUGAACAGCAUACUGCCCAUCAUGGAGCUAACCACUGAACAGGCUGGUCUCUUACAGUCUAAGGUCUCUAGGGCUGACAGCAGGGCAGAACAAUCAAGUGUCUUGGUUCCCUCCUUCUGUCUGGCCAGUAGGUCUGUCUAGGCCAGCAUGAUGGAGUCCAGGCUUCAGUGACCUAGGAGUACUAAUGAACAGCAGGGGCCCAACCCCUCAUAAGGUUCUGCCCCACAUCUCCAUCUUACUAACAUGUCUGUUCCAAGUCUCCUCCGCCUCAUUGAUCUCUUGAUGGCCCCUUCUUCCCCUCUAAAGGAUUUUAGAAAGCCAGAAUUACAUCCCCGCCCCCAGUCUCUUCCUCCCUUCUACCACACUGAGCUGCAGACCCAGCCUUCCAAGCAUCUUCUCCUGUCUGUUGGUGCUAAGCUGGUUCAGCACCUGGGACCUGGACAGCUCCCCACCUCCAAACAGAACUGUACCAUGUGUUCAGUCACUAAGUCCCAGUUCAAAAAGCAUCCCAGGGCCAGAGCCGCCCAACUCUGUUGUGAAAUACUAGUUUAAGGUGUGUUACAUCCGUUUGUGCUGUGGAACAUUUGUUUAAUGAUGCAGAGAUGUGUUGCAUUCUUUUGUUGCAUUUGUUUAACUCUGUGAAGCCGUGCUACUCUAUCUGCCUAAAAUGCCUGAUUGGUCUAAUAAAGAGCUGAACGGCCAAUAGCAAGGCAGGAGAGUGAUAGGUGGGGCUGCCAGGCAGAGAGAAUAGAUAGGAAGAGAAAUCUAAGGAUGAACUAGAAGAGUGAGGAGAAAAGGAGAGGAGGAUGCCAGGGGCCAGCCAUCCAGCCACACACAGACACAGACUAAGAAGGGAAGAAGACAUACAGAAUAAAGAAAGGUAAAAAGCCCAGAAGCAAAAUGUGGAAGAGAAAUGGGGUACCUUAAGUUAGAAAAGCUGGCUAGAAACAAGCCAAGUUAGGGCCAGGCAUUCAUAAGUAAGAAUAAGUCUCCGUGUACUUAUUUGGGAGCUGGGUGGCGGGCUCCCAAAGAAUAAAACAACAACAACAACAAAACUACACAACUCCCCACAUCCGUACAUCUCAGUGUGACCCAUGAACUCGGAAGAGCCAGUCCCCGGUAACAUCCAAGCCCCGCCUUCAUCCCUCCUCAUUCCCAGAAGGUGCCUAUGGAAGCCUGCUGUUCUGUACUGUGUCC